GUUCAUAUCCAAAUGAUUAAAUCUGAUUGUAUUGCAAAAUAGACUUAAGAUAGUGUCCGAAAUACUUUUGUUUGACAGACACUUCUGUAUGUUAAGGGCUAACAUACAGAAGUGUAAGUCAGGUAAGUCCAACAGUCUAAAUUAAAACUGUUUGUCUAAAACUGAUGUUCUAAAUUGACCAUAGAUGUUUAUUUUUUAGCCCUUCGAUAGAUUGGCGUCCAGGUUGUACCCGGUGUCUCACCCAAUGAAAGGCCAUGAAUUUGAUAAGCAUAAGAAAAUGGAUGAAUGACAGGAACAUGGCAAAGAAACUACAAAAGCCAAAAAGCUGCUGAGGCGGAGGAUGGGAAAAGACGUUAUGAAGGCAGACAUGGAUCUGACAGGUCACACAUCGGCUCUCUAUCUGCCAGGCUAACGUUUCUGGCAGUUUGGCAGUGUUUGCCCAGAUAUCUGUAGUCUACUGGCGGAUGCUGUCCAAGAUAAAGACAAUGUUGGAUAACACCUCCCACUCCAUGACAUGCUGGUCAGUCACAGGAGCACGUUCAGUGAGAGACUGAGAUUACCGAAAAGCACCACUGAACGACACAGGAAAUCAUUCCUGCCUGUGGCCAUCUCCCUGUACAACGCAUCCACUUAACACACUGUUUGCUGCUACAGCUACACAUGUUUCUUUUCCAACUAUUUAUUUAUGAGUGACUUAUGUAUGUAUGUAUGUAUAUAUAUGUAUAUAUUGUACUAUUCUUAGUUAGUGUAUUGUCU
ensembl:lncRNA